GAUAAGAACCAUUUCAGAUAUCAGUCAUAUUGUUGAUAUCUUUGAAGGUAAGCCGACUAUUGGAAUCACUGUUGUGGUUGCAUGGUAGUUCGACUUCAAUGAGGAAAUUGCUACCAAGUUUGUCCAUCACGUAUGAAAUCCGACGUUUAAACAUAGCACUGUCAUAGAACUUAAGACCGAUAACCUGCAGGUGCAGAGAUACAAUCAGCGUUAUUCUGUUAUCACAAAUCUGAGCUAAUAGCUGGUAUGAUAUAUAGCCAUCCGGUGAUUUCAGGGAGUGUAACUCUAAACGGACACGGUAGUUUUCAGCGUUACGGCUUCGCCCUCAUUAGCCCUGUAAUCUCUGGAUAUCCAAUACACAACGAAUCUGAUCACUAACAAGCCGUUCAGGUAGGUCAAACGGAAUGUGUUCAGUCAGGCUUGUGAAGCUACCGAUGCCGUUUGAGUCGGCCUGAUAGAGCCGGUCCCAGUGUCAGGGAAUUUGGCAGAUGUUCUGGGUACUGUCGGUGUGGCACAAAGCGUGGAACUUCAAGACGGGAGUUUGUGCAAUUCUUAGCAAAAGUCGGGUGGAACUGAAUGCCUUAAUGUUUCUGGGAUCAAAGGCUGAAAACCAUUGUACGGCGACCUUUGCUAAACCACCAUUGUUAUCAUCGGGGACUGUUACAACAUUGCUUACAAGGAAACUCGGAGUAUGCACGCCACAUGCUCUGGAGAAUUUAGCAUACACUGUUUCUGAUCAUAUAGUUCUGCAUUAGAAUGACCAUCAAUGAGGGGUGACUUUGUCAGACAAGUAAGCGAUAUAUGUGUUUCCUAUAUUACACAUACAUUUGCCAAGAACUAUAUGAUUGUGCGACUGAAGGGAAAAUAUACUACAUAGAUGAGAGAACAUGAAAAUCCCGGAGUCCUGAAAACUUCUACCUUAGCCAUGUACAACAAAUCUUUGUUAACAACAGUGUACCGCCAGUACUGGCCAGUUCCAGGAUGGAAAGAUCCCGACAAAGACAGCUCCUUUGACAUGUGUAAAUGUGAACUGGCACAAAAGCCAAAGCUAGUUUCAAAAGCGACGAAAAGACGAGUGCGACCGAAAACCCAACACAAGAAAGAAUCGAGACAAAUCGAGUCGGAAACCAGUCACACUCCCCAGCGUAACGCCACAGGGUUCUCCAAACUAGAUAUGGAAACUCUACAUCGGCUUGGUUGGGCAGACAACGAUCACGAGACACCUCUUCAUAACACAG